GAUGAACGCUGGCGGCGUGCUUAACACAUGCAAGUCGAACGGAAAGGCCAGUGCUUGCACUGGUGCUCGAGUGGCGAACGGGUGAGUAACACGUGGGUGAUCUGCCCUGCACUUUGGGAUAAGCCUGGGAAACUGGGUCUAAUACCAGAUAGGACCAUGCUUUGGAUGGUGUGGUGGAAAGUUUUUUCGGUGUGGGAUGAGCUUGCGGUCUAUCAGCUUGUUGGUGGGGUAAUGGCCUACCAAGGCGUCGACGGGUAGCCGGCCUGAGAGGGUGUACGGCCACAUUGGGACUGAGAUACGGCCCAGACUCCUACGGGAGGCAGCAGUGGGGAAUAUUGCACAAUGGGCGCAAGCCUGAUGCAGCGACGCCGCGUGGGGGAUGACGGCCUUCGGGUUGUAAACUCCUUUCGCAACUGACGAAGCUUUUUGUGACGGUAGGUUGAGAAGAAGCACCGGCUAACUACGUG
rnacentral:rRNA from 1 species